GAUGAACGCUGGCGGCGUGCCUAAUACAUGCAAGUCGAGAGAACGGACGAGAAGCUUGCUUCUCUGAUGUUAGCGGCGGACGGGUGAGUAACACGUGGAUAACCUACCUAUAAGACUGGGGUAACUUCGGGAAACCGGAGCUAAUACCGGAUAAUAUUUUGAACCGCAUGGUUCAAAAGUGAAAGACGGUCUUGCUGUCACUUAUAGAUGGAUCCGCGCUGCAUUAGCUAGUUGGUAAGGUAACGGCUUACCAAGGCAACGAUGCAUAGCCGACCUGAGAGGGUGAUCGGCCACACUGGAACUGAGACACGGUCCAGACUCCUACGGGAGGCAGCAGUAGGGAAUCUUCCGCAAUGGGCGAAAGCCUGACGGAGCAACGCCGCGUGAGUGAUGAAGGUCUUCGGAUCGUAAAACUCUGUUAUUAGGGAAGAACAUAUGUGUAAGUAACUGUGCACAUCUUGACGGUACCUAAUCAGAAAGCCACGGCUAACUACGUG
rnacentral:rRNA from 1 species